CUUGACCAUGCGUCAGACAUUUGACGAGUAGGAAGUGAGACUUUGUUGCCCGUGCUAACACACACAC